rnacentral:lncRNA from 1 species
AAUUAUAAAUGCUUUAUUUUUCAUCUGACUGUAGGCCUUUGGACUUCCCCCAUCAAGCUCCAGGAAAUUCUUUGUCCUGCAAAAUCACUUCAGUUCUGGAACUCAAAUCUCCCCAGGACUUUCCUGCUGCCUGGAGGGUGAAGAGCACAAAGCUUCUUCCAGAACCUUGGUUCCCAAGGAGGGCUCCCAGGGCUCUUUGGACUGAAUUUACACUGGUUCCUGAAGUGUGGAAAAAGUAAAUAAGCUUUUGUUUAGAUUUCAUCCUUCAUGUUCUCUGGACUGAAAGACUGCAAAGUGCCGGAAAGUAUCCCGAUUAAAAUGACUUUAUGGAGGAGCUAGGACAGAGGUUUCUGGGCAUUCUACCUGAACAAAAAGGAGAGCCAUGGAAUUACUCAUUAAGAGGUCUGCUUAGGAAAAUGGUUAGCCCUAUCACUGGCCACACUAAAUCCAUCUGAACUUCCUGAAAUGUACAUUUAAAUUAAAAAUUAGAUGUCAAGUGGAUGAAAAUUGGUUUUUAGAAUUGAAUAGCCAAAUGCAUGUUCAAAAGCCUGAAUUGUAUGCAUAUAUAUUGGAUAUUAAACUGAUAAUAGAUUAAAAACUGUAUUUUUCUGAAAAUAUUUACAAGUAACCACUGGGAACACAUGCAGAUGAUAAUCAGAUCUGUAUAAAAUCAUCAAUAUGUCACAGU